UACGUAGGUGGCAAGCGUUGUCCGGAAUUAUUGGGCGUAAAGCGCGCGCAGGCGGCCUCUUAAGUCUGAUGUGAAAGCCCCCGGCUCAACCGGGGAGGGCCAUUGGAAACUGGGAGGCUUGAGUAUAGGAGAGAAGAGUGGAAUUCCACGUGUAGCGGUGAAAUGCGUAGAGAUGUUGGAGGAACACCAGUGGCGAAGGCGACUCUUUGGCUAUAACUGACGCUGAGGCGCGAAAGCGUGGGGAGCAAACAGG
rnacentral:rRNA from 1 species